UGAGGAAUAUUGGUCAAUGGGCGAGAGCCUGAACCAGCCAAGUAGCGUGCAGGAUGACGGCCCUAUGGGUUGUAAACUGCUUUUAUAUGGGAAUAAAGUGAGGGACGUGUCCCUUAUUGCAUGUACCAUACGAAUAAGGACCGGCUAAUUCAGUGCCAGCAGCCGCGGUAAUACGGAAGGUCCAGGCGUUAUCCGGAUUUAUUGGGUUUAAAGGGAGCGUAGGCUGUUUGUUAAGCGUGUUGUGAAAUGUAGGAGCUCAACUUUUAGAUUGCAGCGCGAACUGGCAGACUUGAGUGCGCACAACGUAGGCGGAAUUCAUGGUGUAGCGGUGAAAUGCUUAGAUAUCAUGAAGAACUCCGAUUGCGAAGGCAGCUUACGGGAGCGCAACUGACGCUGAAGCUCGAAGGUGCGGGUAUCGAACAGG
rnacentral:rRNA from 1 species